CCUACGGGAGGCAGCAGUGGGGAAUAUUGCACAAUGGGGGAAACCCUGAUGCAGCGACGCCGCGUGAGUGAAGAAGUAAUUCGUUACGUAAAGCUCUAUCAGCAGGGAAGAAAAUGACGGUACCUGAGUAAGAAGCCCCGGCUAUCUACGUGCCAGCAGCCGCGGUAAUACGUAGGGGGCAAGCGUUAUCCGGAUUUACUGGGUGUAAAGGGAGCGUAGACGGUGCGCCAAGUCUGGAGUGAAAGCCCAUGGCUUAACCAUGGUACUGCUCUGGAAACUGUGGAGCUGGAGUGCGGGAGGGGCAGGCGGAAUUCCUAGGGUAGCGGUGAAAUGCGUAGAUAUUAGGAGGAACACCGGCGGCGAAGGCGGCCUGCUGGACCGUAACUGACGUUGAGGCUCGAAAGCGUGGGGAGCAAACAGGAUUAGAUACCCUAGUAGUC
rnacentral:rRNA from 1 species